GAUGAACGCUGGCGGCGUGCUUAACACAUGCAAGUCGAACGGUGAAAGAGGGCUUGCUCUCUGGAUCAGUGGCGAACGGGUGAGUAACACGUGAGCAAUCUGCCCCUGACUCUGGGAUAAGCGCUGGAAACGGCGUCUAAUACCGGAUACGAGCUGCGAAGGCAUCUUCAGCAGCUGGAAAGAACUUCGGUCAGGGAUGAGCUCGCGGCCUAUCAGCUAGUUGGUGAGGUAACGGCUCACCAAGGCGUCGACGGGUAGCCGGCCUGAGAGGGUGACCGGCCACACUGGGACUGAGACACGGCCCAGACUCCUACGGGAGGCAGCAGUGGGGAAUAUUGCACAAUGGGCGAAAGCCUGAUGCAGCAACGCCGCGUGAGGGACGACGGCCUUCGGGUUGUAAACCUCUUUUAGCAGGGAAGAAGCGAAAGUGACGGUACCUGCAGAAAAAGCACCGGCUAACUACGUG
rnacentral:rRNA from 1 species